rnacentral:lncRNA from 1 species
AGGGUGGUUGACACCAGGCUUUAACUUAGUCUGGUCCCAGACCUGUUUGUGCUUUCAGAGGGAAACAGGGUGGUUGACACCAGGCUUUAACUUAGUCUGGUCCCAGACCUGUGUAUGCUGUCAUGACAACUUCUUGUUGCCAUUGUCCUGCGGCAGGUGGCUUCAUUCCUAGACGACAUGCAGUCCUCAACCAGUCAAUGCAGACAGAAUCAUCGCACUAUCUGAUGUAAGACAAUGCCUUGUCGGAGACGGCACGACCUUAUCUGGAACCAGGCUAAGGUCAAUGACAACAGGACCAGAUCUGGAACCAGGUUUAUGUCAACAGAACCAGAUCUGGAACCAGGUUUAUGUCAAUGACAACAGGACCAGAUCUGGAACCAGGUUAAGGUCAAGAGGGUGGAAGAUACAAGGCUGUUUGUUUCUUCAGCGGAGAAUAAAACUUGUAAAAAAUACAACUGGA